rnacentral:rRNA from 1 species
AGUGAACGCUGGCGGUAGGCCUAACACAUGCAAGUCGAACGGCAGCACAGUAAGAGCUUGCUCUUACGGGUGGCGAGUGGCGGACGGGUGAGGAAUACAUCGGAAUCUACUUUUUCGUGGGGGAUAACGUAGGGAAACUUACUCUAAUACCGCAUACGACCUACGGGUGAAAGCAGGGGAUCUUCGGACCUUGCGCGAUUGAAUGAGCCGAUGUCGGAUUAGCUAGUUGGCGGGGUAAAGGCCCACCAAGGCGACGAUCCGUAGCUGGUCUGAGAGGAUGGUCAGCCACACUGGAACUGAGACACGGUCCAGACUCCUACGGGAGGCAGCAGUGGGGAAUAUUGGGCAAUGGGCGCAAGCCUGAUCCAGCCAUACCGCGUGGGUGAAGAAGGCCUUCGGGUUGUAAAGCCCUUUUGUUGGGAAAGAAAAGCAGCAGGUUAAUACCCCGCUGUUCUGACGGUACCCAAAGAAUAAGCACCGGCUAACUUCGUG